UGAACGCUAGUGGCAGGCCUAAUACAUGCAAGUCGAGGGGCAGCACGGUGUAGCAAUAUACUGGUGGCGACCGGCGCACGGGUGCGUAACACGUAUGUAAUCUACCCAUAACUGGGGGAUAGCCCGGAGAAAUCCGGAUUAAUACCCCAUAGUAAUAUUGAGGAGCAUUCCUUGAUAUUUAAAACUCCGGUGGUUAUGGAUGAACAUGCGACUGAUUAGUUUGUUGGUGAGGUAACGGCUCACCAAGACUACGAUCAGUAGGGGUACUAAGAGGUUAUACCCCCACACUGGUACUGAGACACGGACCAGACUCCUACGGGAGGCAGCAGUAAGGAAUAUUGGACAAUGGGGGCAACCCUGAUCCAGCCAUGCCGCGUGAAGGAAGAAGGCGCUACGCGUUGUAAACUUCUUUUGUAGCAGAGAAAACCCUCCCACGUGUGGGAGGUUGAUAGUAUGCUAAGAAUAAGCAUCGGCUAACUUCG
rnacentral:rRNA from 1 species